CUUAAGCGCUCACACCCCGCCCAGCGCAGCCUCUCCUCGGCAAGCCCAUCAGACUGCUGGCUCUGAUAUCUCUGUGGCGUUUAAACAUGCGAUUUAAUUCAUUUUAAUUUCUCAUACUUAACAAUGAAAGGGUUAUGUUUUAAAUCAUAUUUUAGGAUUGCACUUAAUUGAUAUUGCUGUUGAGUGAUGUUUCAUAUCUUUUACAUUUGUUAUAACCGGACUGCAUGCGAAUUUGAACUUCAGAGCUGAAGGAGCGGGUGGAGAAAUAGUCCCAAUAUCAUAACAAUCUUAAAUAAAACUUCUAAAUAUGCCCGUGUGUGUACCCGUGUGUGUACCCGUGUGCGCGCGGGCGUGCGCGCGACCCGCUCGCGCGCGCGUGUGUAUGUACAGUAUGUGCGUGAGUUUUUAAUUUAAAAUGUCUUAACUUAACUCGGAAGGAUCUGAAUCACAGGUCAUUUCAUCUGAGAUCAUUCCGCGUGUAACAGCUGGAAUCACUCACUGUUUCCCACAACGACACAAGUCAUCAGCCGUUUCCUCAAGGUCACGUCAGAGCGGAGAUAAUGUGAGGGGCAAACCAGACCACCACCAUACGCGAAGAUGAGCCUCGAGGCGUGACAGUUAUUUUUUCAAACUGGGGAGUUCAGACUCCGGACCGGCAUUUCUGCUUGUUUGUACCCUGAGGAACCCAAAGGUCCCACACCAACCAUAGUGUUCAACGGCUCUCCUGAUCUUCUCAAAUCUGAAAGUAUCAACUUUAUAAUGGACAAUGUGAACUUAAUAUGUGGAAGACAUUGACAUCACAGGCUGUGGAAGACUGUGUCACAGGUCGGAGAAGCGGACCGCCCCUGUCGCGGAUCACGCUCCUCCUAGUUCCACCUCGAGGAGGUCCCAAAGCACCCCAAUGACCAGACAAACCAGAGAUAAGUAAAAUAUAGAAAUAGAAACUUUAUUUAAAUUAUUUAAAACUAAAGUGGGGAAUGGGAAAGGGAAUCUAAAAAUCUCGCUUCUCGCCCUCAGGGGGAGUAUUACAGGGCCAGGGACGUUGGAGGGGUUUCCACGUGACUCCAGCUGGAACACCACUACAGAGCGUAUCUGGGUGGGUUGGGCACACACCGUCGCGGCGGCCCCUGAUGGCAUCCACAAAGGUCCGAGACCCUCCUAAGCUCCUAGCCGUAGCAGAACUACGUAUUUCAGCACCCGAAGGACUAACAACCCAGCCGGCAUCUGCAGCGUAUAUCCAACGCGAUCAAACUUCACUCUGACAAGUAACUUCCUAUACACAACCACGCCGUCCUUUCGCCCGGACCAGCCCCGCACUCUUUCCGCCCGCUACCUAGCGGUCGCCGGAUCAGCAGAGCCUGCGGACUCUUCGGAGGCUGGUCUUCGUUGUGCUGCCCAAGGCGGAAGUUGACUCGCCCGAAAAUCGACCCUUCCAGUAACUUCUACCUUCUCUCUUUAUAUCCUCCUCCAUGGCGUGGCUCGCCCAACCAUCGCUCGCCACGUCACUCACACAGCUGUGCCUUGUUUCAGCGAGUGCGGGGAUUCCCGGGGAACCCUGAAGUGCCGGUGUCUCUACAAACCGGUCCGGGCGGAACCUCUUCACUCUCCUUUUGGUUCCGCCCCGCAUAGUCACUCCGUGACAACUGUUUGCGUUUUUUUUUCUCCUCAAUGUUCAAUACCCUUUUGCCAUUAAGCACACAGUGACUUUAAUUUAUAAGAUAUAUGCUUAAGUUUUAAUACCUGUACAAAACAAAUGUAUAAUCAACUUGUGUAAAUUGUCAUUCUAUUUAAUAGAUUGUUUAUGAAUUGUCUUUAAAUGCAUUGUGAUUUCGGUAACACUUUACAAUAAAGUUCAUUAGUUAACAUUAGUUAAUGUAUUAACUAACUUGAACAAACCAUAAGCAAUACAUUUGUUACAGUAUUUAUUCAUCUUUGUUAAUGUUAGUUAAUAAAAAUUUAAGCUUUAAUUGCUUGUUCAUGUUAGUUCAGAGUGCAUUAACUAAUGUUAACAAGAUUUUAAUAAAGUAAUUGUUGAAAUUAACAUUAACAAAGAUGAAUAAAGGCUGUAUAAGUGCAGUUCAUUAUUAGUUCAUGUUAACUAAUGUAGCUAACUAAUGUUAACUAAUGAACCUUAUUUUAAAGUGUUACCGUGAUUUCUUUUCAUCAUUUCAGACACAUGUAAAAGUUACUAAAAAUUAGUACUGCAUAUACUGUACAGUAUCUAUGCGUAAGGGAAAUAACUUGAACAAAAUUUUUAAUGUAUAGUGUAAUUAAGAGUUUAGCUGUUUAAUACAGAGAUGCAAUUUAUUUCUAUAUAUUAUUUAUAUAUAAACGUAUGUAUGUUUAUUAAAAAGUGAAAAUGCUUAAUGGAAAUAAUUAAAUAACUAAAUGGUUGAAUGUAAUGAGACAUUUUAAAUGUAAACUAAAGUUUUGCUGUCUAAUACAGAAUAAAGAGAUGUGAUUUUAAGUAA